rnacentral:rRNA from 1 species
GACGAACGCUGGCGGCGUGCCUAAUACAUGCAAGUUGAGCGAUGAAGAUUGGUGCUUGCCCCAAUUUGAAGAGCAGCGAACGGGUGAGUAACGCGUGGGGAAUCUGCCUUUGAGCGGGGGACAACAUUUGGAAACGAAUGCUAAUACCGCAUAACAACUUUAAACAUAAGUUUUAAGUUUGAAAGAUGCAAUUGCAUCACUCAAAGAUGAUCCCGCGUUGUAUUAGCUAGUUGGUGAGGUAAAGGCUCACCAAGGCGAUGAUACAUAGCCGACCUGAGAGGGUGAUCGGCCACAUUGGGACUGAGACCCGGCCCAAACUCCUACGGGAGGCAGCAGUAGGGAAUCUUCGGCAAUGGACGAAAGUCUGACCGAGCAACGCCGCGUGAGGGAAGAAGGUUUUCGGAUCGUAAAACUCUGUUGGUAGAGAAGAACGUUGGUGAGAGUGGAAAGCUCAUAAAGUGACGGUAACUACCCAGAAAGGGACGGCUAACUACGUG